UACGUAGGGGGCGAGCGUUGUCCGGAUUCAUUGGGCGUAAAGCGCGGGCAGGCGGCCCGCUCAGUCGGCCGUGAAAGCGCCGGGCUCAACUCGGCGCGGUCGGGCGAUACUGGCGGGCUGGAGGCUGGUAGAGGGCGGUGGAAUUCCGGGUGUAGUGGUGGAAUGCGUAGAGCUCCGGAGGAACACCAGUGGCGAAGGCGGCCGCCUGG
rnacentral:rRNA from 1 species